UACGUAGGGGGCUAGCGUUGUCCGGAAUUAUUGGGCGUAAAGAGCUUGUAGGCGGUUUGUCGCGUCUGCUGUGAAAAUUUCGGGGCUCAACCCCGAACUUGCAGUGGGUACGGGCAGACUAGAGUGUGGUAGGGGAGACUGGAAUUCCUGGUGUAGCGGUGAAAUGCGCAGAUAUCAGGAGGAACACCGAUGGCGAAGGCAGGUCUCUGGGCCACUACUGACGCUGAGAAGCGAAAGCAUGGGGAGCAACAGG
rnacentral:rRNA from 1 species